rnacentral:rRNA from 1 species
AGAGUUUGAUCAUGGCUCAGGACGAACGCUGGCGGCGUGCUUAACACAUGCAAGUCGAACGGAAAGGCCCUUCGGGGUACUCGAGUGGCGAACGGGUGAGUAACACGUGGGUGAUCUGCCCUGCACUUUGGGAUAAGCCUGGGAAACUGGGUCUAAUACCGAAUAGGACCACGCGCUUCAUGGUGUGUGGUGGAAAGCUUUUGCGGUGUGGGAUGGGCCCGCGGCCUAUCAGCUUGUUGGUGGGGUAAUGGCCUACCAAGGCGACGACGGGUAGCCGGCCUGAGAGGGUGACCGGCCACACUGGGACUGAGAUACGGCCCAGACUCCUACGGGAGGCAGCAGUGGGGAAUAUUGCACAAUGGGCGCAAGCCUGAUGCAGCGACGCCGCGUGAGGGAUGACGGCCUUCGGGUUGUAAACCUCUUUCACCAGGGACGAAGCGCAAGUGACGGUACCUAUAGAAGAAGCACCGGCCAACUACGUGCCAGCAGCCGCGGUAAUACGUAGGGUGCGAGCGUUGUCCGGAAUUACUGGGCGUAAAGAGCUCGUAGGUGGUUUGUCGCGUUGUUCGUGAAAACUCACAGCUUAACUGUGGGCGUGCGGGCGAUACGGGCAGACUAGAGUACUGCAGGGGAGACUGGAAUUCCUGGUGUAGCGGUGGAAUGCGCAGAUAUCAGGAGGAACACCGGUGGCGAAGGCGGGUCUCUGGGCAGUAACUGACGCUGAGGAGCGAAAGCGUGGGGAGCGAACAGGAUUAGAUACCCCGGUAGUCCAA